GACGAACGCUGGCGGCGUGCUUAACACAUGCAAGUCGAACGGAAAGGCCCUGCUUUUGUGGGGUGCUCGAGUGGCGAACGGGUGAGUAACACGUGAGUAACCUGCCCUUUACUUUGGGAUAACUUCAGGAAACUGGUGCUAAUACCGGAUAGGAGCUCCUGCUGCAUGGUGGGGGUUGGAAAGUUUCGGCGGUUGGGGAUGGACUCGCGGCUUAUCAGCUUGUUGGUGGGGUAGUGGCUUACCAAGGCUUUGACGGGUAGCCGGCCUGAGAGGGUGACCGGCCACAUUGGGAUUGAGAUACGGCCCAGACUCCUACGGGAGGCAGCAGUGGGGAAUAUUGCACAAUGGGCGGAAGCCUGAUGCAGCAACGCCGCGUGCGGGAUGACGGCCUUCGGGUUGUAAACCGCUUUCGCCUGUGACGAAGCGUGAGUGACGGUAAUGGGUAAAGAAGCACCGGCUAACUACGUG
rnacentral:rRNA from 1 species